UGAGAGAGACCAGCUACAGAAUAGUCUAAAUACCAGGACUACUGAGAGAAACCAGUUACAGAAUAGUCUAAAUACCAGGACCGCAGAGAAAAACCAGCUACAGAAUACUCUCACAACCAAAACUAAAGACAGAGACCAGUUGCACACUACUCUCACCACAAUAAUUCGGGAGAGAGACCAACUACAGAAUAGUCUAAAUACCCGGACCACUGAGAGAGACCAGUUACAGAAUAGUCUAAAUACCAGUACUACAGAGAGACACCAGUUACAGAAUAUCUAAAUACCAGGACCACGGAGAGAGACCAGUUACAGAAUAGUCUAAAUACCAGGACUACUGAGAGAAACUAGUUACAGAAUAGUCUAAAUACCAGGACCGCAGAGAAAAACCAGCUACAGAAUAGUCUCACAACCAAAACUAAAGACAGAGACCAGUUGCACAAUACUCUCACCACAAUAACUCGGGAGAGAGACCAGCUCCAGAAUAGUCUAAAUACCCGGACCACUGAGAGAAACCAGUUACAGAAUAGUCUAAAUACCAGGACCACUGAGAGAGACCAGUUACAGAAUAGUCUGAAUACCAGGACCACUGAGAGAGACCAGUUACAGAAUAGUCUAAAUACCAGGACCACGGAGAGGGACCAGUUACAGAAUAGUCUAAAUACCAGGACUACUGAGAGAAACCAGUUAUAGAAUAGUCUAAAUACCAGGACCGCAGAGAAAAACAAGCUACAGAAUAUUCUCACAACCAAAACUAAAGACAGAGACCAGUUGCACAAUACUCUCACCACAAUAACUCGGGAGAGAGACCAGCUACAGAAUAGUCUAAAUACCAGGACCACUGAGAGAGACCAGUUACAGAAUAGUCUAAAUACCAGUACUACAGAGAGAGACCAGUUACAGAAUAGUCUGAAUACCAGGACCACUGAGAGAGACCAGUUACAGAAUAGUCUAUAUACCAGGACCACUGAGAGAGACCAGUUACAGAAUAGUCUAAAUACCAGGACCACGGAGAGAGACCAGCUACAGAAUAGUCUAAAUACCAGGACUACUGAGAGAAACCAGUUACAGAAUAGUCUAAAUACCAGGACCGCAGAGAAAAACAAGCUACAGAAUAGUCUCACAACCAAAACUAAAGACAGAGACCAGUUGCACAAUAUUCUCACCACAAUAACUCGGGAGAGGGACCAGCUACAGAAUAGUCUAAAUACCCGGACCACUGAGAGAAACCAGUUACAGAAUAGUCUAAAUACCAGGACCACAGAGAGAGACCAGUUAAAAAACAGCCUUAGGUUCUAUGGUUAGUGCAGUCUUUAAUUUUCCUAAUUUAGAAGUAUCAUUUUAUUUCAUACUUAGAAGAGACAUAAUAUAUUUAUCGACUUUUACGUGCCUGCUGUUCUAUUCCGUUUAUCUCAGAGAAACCCUGUCUGGAUGGAUGGUGGAAGUUUGGCACCAGCUGUUACUAUGUCUCCUCCACGAUGGACAGCUCUGGGGCCGGUCAGCGGCAGUGCAGAACAAUGGGUGCUGAUUUGGUUAUUAUAAACAGCAGAGAAGAACAGAUAUUUAUCAAUGGAUUUAAGAAGAAUGUCUGGAUUGGUACAUAUAAAAAAGAUGGAAUCUGGGAGUGGAUUGGCAUAACACUAUUUAAACCUACCUAUUGGAUGGAAGGGGAACCAAAUAACAUGCAUGACGAGUGUGUUGAGAUCUCACAGACGGCAUCAGACCCAUUGAAGAGUUGGAAGAAUGGUCUAUGUGCUACUCCAAAAUACUGGGUGUGUGAAAAACCGUUCACCCCAUAGUCUAAUUAUAAUAGCUAAAUGUAAGCCCUUAUCUUAUGGAAUUGCACUGGUUUUCCCUUUGUUAGUCUUAAACUGUUUUUGUUUCUAUGUGUAAUUAAAUUGAAAGAUGUAUUCAUGUCUUUAAAGAGACC
rnacentral:lncRNA from 1 species